CGCUCGGGAAGGGAGAAGCCGGAACGAAGGCGGAGGGCAGGAGGUACGCAUGCGUAGGGAGGGCACGCGGUCUCUCCGCCCCUUACACCAGGGGGACCAGAACGGAAGCCCUAAGUGACGUUAGUCAUUGUGUUAGAGGGUCUCAGCAUGUAGCCCUGCCUGGAAAUCCUGCCUGAGUCUAAAGUGCUAGUUGACAGGUGUGAGUCCAUAACUGCUCCUGUAUCUCUGUCCACAGAAAUGAAAGGAGGCCUCAUCCCAUAGCUAACUCCCACAGAGGGCAUCUGUAUGACACCCCAUUUUGGCAAACACAGCCAACCCAGCAAUGCCUCUUCCAGGAUUGAUCCCCACAAACACAGAGUGGCUUUGACACAGGAGUUAUUUAUUGCAGUGUGGUUUGUGAUAUUAAAGUAGAAAUACAUUCCAUCAAUAAAGAUCUUUCUGUUAA